CAGCAUGCUGAUGCCAUCCCUUCUGGUCUCCAUGACACAAGCUCCAGUGCUCCGCUCCCCCGCGCCCCCUUCAGGAAAGCCAGUGGGCACCUUGAGGUUGGGACUCAGAGCCCAUAAUCUGCUUUGUCCCCUUAACCCUAAAUAUUAGUGAGUUUUAAAUAGCCUCUGAGCCCCAGCUGUCCUUAGAAGCCCCGUCCGCAGUGAUGUUUGGACCCUCCGGGCAGCGAGGGGGGCCGGGAAAGCUCUGGGCAGCCUCCCCCGGCUUGCAGUGGGCACAUGGCAGGGUGACAUCACCUCCUCAUGCUUCCAGGUGAGCGCCGGGGCGGGGGUGGGGCCCAGCCAGGGUGGGGAGAUGGGUUUGUAGCCUUGGGUUCCCCUCCCGCUGCAUCUUGACUCAGUUGCUCCAAACAAACGGAAGAUUUGCUCUUGGCACCAACAACUACCUUAACCCAUGCUCUCAACCUCUGUGGCAGAUGCAGGGCAAGGAGCAGAGCAUGGGGGGUAGAUCUUGGGCGCGAGGCCACCCAGCUGAUGAGAGCUAAGGGCCCUAACUCACUGUACCCAGCACCCCCCCCCCCCCCAGCUGAUCAGGAGUCCUGGUGAUUACUCGGGGAGAUGACAGUUCGACCACCGUGCAGACCUUCGGACCGACUUGAGAGAAGGUGAGCUGAGGUCAUUGGGCAUUUUGGAGUUGGGAGCAGUCUGGACGUCCCAGCUACCAGGCAGCCUUGUCUGUCCCCAGAGCACCGGGAGUGACCCAUGUAACACGGGCCUGCCUGUGCCAGGCUGGCCAGGGCUACAGACUUAUCACCCUGCUCUCUCCUCUCCCCUCCUCCUCCUCCUGCACCCCACGAGCAUCCAAGGGCCUGGGCAAAAGCGCCAGGUAUAGCACCCAGCACUCAGUAAGUGCCCAACAGCUGUCUUGUAAGUGUUUCCACUCGGUUUGGAGUAAACCGAGAGGAAGCCAUUAGACUGGGCCUCUGGGUACACUAAUCCGUGGACCCCUCUGUCUUCCCCUGGAAAAGUGAGGGCACGGACAGGCUCUGGUUCGUUUCUGAACCCCCAGUGCCUGAUCACAGUAGGUGCUCAGUGAACAUUAGAUCCACGGACUCCCUAACACAGCCCCAGAUACACAGAGAAGCGCGCCCCCUCCUCCGGGAGACGCCACUGUUCUGGCACCUGCUCCUCGCAGCCCCGCACUGGCCAGGCCUCCCGGGGCGGCCCUCCAGCGCCCACCCACCCCACCCCAGGCCUCCCUGCUCACUUUGUUGAAGUCAAAGGUCUCAAACAUCUGCUCCACAUACUGGCUGGUGGACGGGCUCAGGUUCUUGAGGCCGAAGAACUGGCGGAACUCGUAGAGGGUGAGCUGGCCGGAGGGGCACUCGGUCAUGAACUUCUUGUACCACUGGUGGCACUCGGUGCUGCUCAGCUCCUCCACCGACUUACCAUCCAUCACGUUGCCCAUCUCCCAGGCCCCACCUGUGGCCGGCGCCCAAGGUGGAUGGAUCCUGCUCCCCGCUGCCCCUGCACAAGGGAGGCUCGGCUUUCUAACAGCAGGCCCUCCUCGCUCACAGCCCGGAGUGGUCCAGAGCUGAGCAAAGAAGAUCUGACGAAUCAGACAGCACAGGAGGAGGGCCGAAUAGGUGGCUGUUCUGAUCCUGUGACCUCCAUUCCCUUCUUCUCCUGUUUUCAGUGGGCUCUCAAUGUUUUUGGUUCCUGCCCUCCGACAUGGAAUUGAGACACACCCUCCUCCGAGAACCUUUCCGAAUCUCAGCAGAAUUCAUUUUUCUUGCCUCGGCGCACCGAUGGUUUGCUGAUGUGUUAUAAUAGCUUUCUAGGCUGCUUAAACACUACCACAGAGUCCGUAGCUUCAAACUCUACACGUUUAGGGGCGCCUGGGGGGCUCAGUCGUUAAGCGUCUGACUUCGGCUCAGGUCAUGAUCUCAUGGUUCGUGGGUUUGAGCCCUGUGCCAGGCUCUGUGCUGACAGCUCGGAGCCUGGAGCCGGCUUCGGAUUCUGUGUCUCCCUCUCUCUCUGCCCCUCCCCCGCUCACACUCUGCCUCUCUAGCUCAAAAAUAAACAUUUUUAAAAAUUAAGAAAAAAUCCUACAUGUUUAUUAUCACACAGUUUCUGUGGGCCAGGAGUCUGGCUCUGUGCUGGCUUUCACUGGGUCCUCUGCCCCAGGUCCCAAAGGGCUGUGAUCAUGGUGUCAUCUGGGGUGCGUUCACAUCUGGAGGCUUGACCGGGGAAGAAUCCACUUCUGCCUCAUUCAGCGUGUUGGCAGAAUUCAUUUCCUGGGUAUAGGACUGAGGGCCCUGGCUUCUUGCUAGACAUUAUCUGGAGCCCACUCUCGGUUACUAGAGGCUGUCUGCAGUUUCUAGGACUUUCCAAAGUUCCUUAUUACACAGGCUCCUCAGUGUGGCUGCUUAUUUCAUCAAGCCGGCAAGGAGAAUCUCUCUCCAAUCUGCUAAAAUGGAAGCUUAUAUUGUGUAACUAACCAAGGAAAUGCCAUCCUGUUACCUUUGCCACACUCCGUGGGUUAGUGGUGAGUCACAGAUCUCAGCCACGCUCAGAGGAGGAUUGUGCCAAGGCGGGUACAGCAGGAGGUGGAAGUCAUAGGGGUCACCACAUCUAGGACAAUGUUCACCGUUCUUUAUUAUUAUUAUUAUUAUUAUUAUUAAACAUUUAUUUAUUUUUGAGAGACAAAGACAGACAGAGCAAGAGUAGAGGAGGGGCAGAGAGAGGGAGACACAGAAUCGGAAGCAGACUCCAGGCUCCGAGCUGUCAGCACAGAGCCCGACGCGGGGCUCUCACUUACGGGACUCGAUCUCACGAACUGUGAGAUCAUGACCUAAGCUGAAGUCGGACACUUAACUGACUGAGCCACCCAGACGCCCCAACAAUGUUCACACUUCUAUUUAUAACAUACAUGAGGUUCAUUGAUUUCUCAAAUUAUACGCAGCUGUUUAUUGUCAGCCUGUCGUCAGGAACUCGGGGUGGAGGCCUCUGUGUUAUUCAUCUCGCGCACCCUCCCAGCACCUAGUGCCAACGAUUCCACAUGGUCAUGCGCUGGUUAUCCCGUUGGCCCCAUCCCCACCCAUUCUCCACCUUCCUCUGUGUGCUCUGAGUGCCAGGAGGCUGACCCCUGUGGACUGGAUCACUCGGGCUCCCCGGGGCCUCUGGCUUCUGGCAGGUCAUCCCCUGGGAAGCAGUGGAAGGAGACUGGCUAGUAGGAAAAGAGAAGAGUCUGGGCGUUUGCUCCCCACCCUCCCUGCUGGGUCGUAGUUUGAGCCCUGAUUCCUUCUACCCUCAGCCACAGCUCCCACGAAAGCCUUCUCUCAGCUGCGGUGACAAAGCCACCUCCCUGUACCUCUCAGGCUUAGAAGUAGGAAGGGCUUGCCUCUGUGGCCACUCUCUGGCCAUGUCACCAGCCCUCAACUGUGCCCACUUCUCUGUAAACAUGCUCCUCAGUACCUUUGUGAAGGUAACACUUGACUGACGGACUUGAGCCCAAUAAAACACUGAGUGCGGGGCGCCUGGGUGACCCAGUCUGUUAAGCGUCUGACUUCGGCUCAGGUCAUGAUCUCACGGUUCAUGGGUUCGAGCCCCACAUCAGGCUCUGUGCUGACAGCUCGGAACCCGGAGCCUGCUUCGGAUUCUGUGUCUCCCUCUCUUUCUGCCCCUCCCCAACUUGUGUGCUCUCUCGCUCUCUCUCAAAAAUAAAAACAUUUAAAAAAUUAAAAAAUAAAUAAAACACUGAGUGAGUGAAUGCGUACAUGCAUGACCGAAGGAAGAAUUCAGUAAGGCUAGAGUAGGGUGGAGCUGUCAUCCAAUGUCUACUGUGUUCAAGGCAGCACGCUAAGCUUGUGGAAUCGGCUUACAAUAGCCCUGUGGGGGUGGUAUUAUUUCCACGUGACACGAGAGGAAGUGGGGACAGAAAAGUCAUUGUGAGGUCCACAGAAAUUCAAAGUGGUGGUACCAGAGUUUUCUACCUCAUCACCAGGCUUUUGGCUUAAGCCUUUAAAUCUCGAGGGUCCAGCUGGAGGGCCCCUCGAGCCCCUACUCCAGCAUCUUCCCUGUGGCCCUUCUGCCUGGAAAAUUCCAGCGACGGUGAGCUCAAUCCCUUUGGAGGUGGCCCAGACCCAGGAUGGGAAUGGAACCCCCCAGCCUCCCAAUCCCAGAGCCCAGCUUCUCCCUCUUCCAUGGCCUCUCUCAGUCUUGCUCUCCAUUCUUCU